GAGGAUUAACCCUACCAGACCGCUGUAGUGAUUUUUCGGUAAUUUUGGAAUCUAACGCUAUACCGCUGUACCUAAUUUUUGUUACUUUGCCUAGACCUAUUUUCUACAAUGUCUCCAAGUUCCAUCUUAUUCUAACCACUUGUUUGCAUGUAACUAACAUUUUUCUAUAUCAUGUUGAAUUUUUCUCUUCAAUGCUCAGGAGCCCAGGUAUAGGGGACAGUUAGGUUCAGGGCCUCAGGUCUGGUAGGAUUUAGGUCCAA